GGCAGCAGAGUGUAGUGGUUUGAGUGUUGGACUCUGAUUCUGGGGACCAGGGUUCAAAUUCCUGUUCAGCCA